GACUCUCGGCAACGGAUAUCUAGGCCCUCGCAUCGAUGAAGAACGUAGCAAAAUGCGAUACUUGGUGUGAAUUGCAGAAUCCCGUGAACCAUCGAGUCUUUGAACGCAAGUUGUGCCCGGAGCCUUUGGGCCGAGGGCACGCCUGCCUGGG
rnacentral:rRNA from 1 species